rnacentral:rRNA from 1 species
CUCAGGACGAACGCUGGCGGCGUGCCUAAUACAUGCAAGUCGAGCGGACCGACGGGAGCUUGCUCCCUUAGGUCAGCGGCGGACGGGUGAGUAACACGUGGGUAACCUGCCUGUAAGACUGGGAUAACUCCGGGAAACCGGGGCUAAUACCGGAUGCUUGAUUGAACCGCAUGGUUCCAAUCAUAAAAGGUGGCUUUUAGCUACCACUUACAGAUGGACCCGCGGCGCAUUAGCUAGUUGGUGAGGUAACGGCUCACCAAGGCGACGAUGCGUAGCCGACCUGAGAGGGUGAUCGGCCACACUGGGACUGAGACACGGCCCAGACUCCUACGGGAGGCAGCAGUAGGGAAUCUUCCGCAAUGGACGAAAGUCUGACGGAGCAACGCCGCGUGAGUGAUGAAGGUUUUCGGAUCGUAAAACUCUGUUGUUAGGGAAGAACAAGUACCGUUCGAAUAGGGCGGCACCUUGACGGUACCUAACCAGAAAGCCACGGCUAACUACGUGCCAGCAGCCGCGGUAAUACGUAGGUGGCAAGCGUUGUCCGGAAUUAUUGGGCGUAGAGCGCGCGCAGGCGGUUUCUUAAGUCUGAUGUGAAAGCCCCCGGCUCAACCGGGGAGGGUCAUUGGAAACUGGGGAACUUGAGUGCAGAAGAGGAGAGUGGAAUUCCACGUGUAGCGGUGAAAUGCGUAGAGAUGUGGAGGAACACCAGUGGCGAAGGCGACUCUC